UACGGAGGGGGUUAGCGUUGUUCGGAAUUACUGGGCGUAAAGCGCGCGUAGGCGGACUAUUAAGUCGAGGGUGAAAUCCCGGGGCUCAACCCCGGAACUGCCUCCGAUACUGGUAGUCUUGAGGUCGAGAGAGGUGAGUGGAAUUCCGAGUGUAGAGGUGAAAUUCGUAGAUAUUCGGAGGAACACCAGUGGCGAAGGCGGCUCACUGGCUCGAUACUGACGCUGAGGUGCGAAAGUGUGGGGAGCAAACAGG
rnacentral:rRNA from 1 species